rnacentral:rRNA from 7 species
GCCUACGGCAUCCCACCCUGGUAACGCCGAUUUCGUUGAUCUCGGAAGCUAAGCAGGGUCGGGCCUGGUUAGUACUUGGAUGGGAGACCUCCUGGGAUUACCGGGUGCUGUAGGCU